rnacentral:rRNA from 1 species
UACAGAGGGGGCAAGCGUUAUUCGGAAUUAUUGGGCGUAAGGGCGCGUAGGCGGCCUGGCAAGUGGAAGGUGAAAUCCCUCGGCUUAACCGAGGAACUGCCUCCCAAACUGCUUGGCUUGAGACCAGGAGAGGUGAGUGGAAUUCCCAGUGUAGCGGUGAAAUGCGUAGAUAUUGGGAGGAACACCAGUGGCGAAGGCGGCUCACUGGACUGGUACUGACGCUGAGACGCGAAAGCGUGGGGAGCGAACAGG